rnacentral:tRNA from 1 species
CCGCCUGUGGCUUAGUGGGUAAUGUUACAGUCUUGGGAUCACGGGAUCCCAGGUUCAAACCCAGCUAGGUGCA